AGAGAAAACUGGGUCUUCGGACCCGAUCUACCCCACACACACCUGUGAACCGUUUAUCGCGUCUGUAUGACAACGUGGGCCGCGAGGCCUGCUGCGUCGUAUGGGCGUUUUUACAAAACAUCUUAUAAAAGUCUUGAACGUCAAAGUUAUAUUUUAACAAAACA
rnacentral:misc_RNA from 1 species